rnacentral:rRNA from 1 species
GAUUAACGUUGGCAGUGCGCCUAACACAUGCAAGUCGAGCGAUAUAGCGGCAGACGAGAGAAGUAAUAGUAAGGAACUUACCCCCGAGUGAAGGAUAGCCAGCCGAAAGGUUGGGUAAUCCUGCAUAAUAUCGAAAGAUCAAAGCCUUCGGGCGCUUGGGGAGAGGCCUUACUCCUAUCAGCUUGUUGGUGAGGUAAUGGCUCACCAAGGCGAUGACGGGGUAGCUGGUCUGAGAGGAUGAUCAGCCUCGAUGGGACUGAGACACGGCCCAUACUCCUACGGGAGGCAGCAGUUGGGGAUUUUGCACAAUGGAGGAAACUCUGAUGCAGCGACACUGCGUGAAGGAUGAAGGUUCUAGGAUCGUAAACUUCUUUUAUCAGGGAGUAAUCUUGAAAGUACCCGAUGAAUAAGGACCGGCUAACUACGUG